CUCAGAGUUAAGUGACGAUAGCCUAGGAGAUACACCUGUACCCAUGCCGAACACAGAAGUUAAGCCCUAGAACGCCGGAAGUAGUUGGGGGUUGCCCCCUGUGAGAUAGGGAAGUCGCUUAGCU
rnacentral:rRNA from 1 species